AAUGGAAUUGCUGGGUCACAUGGUAAUUUAUGUUUAAUUUUUUUUCAGGAACUGCCAAAUUAUUUAACAAUGACUGUACCGUUCUACAUUUCUAUCAGCAGU
rnacentral:pre_miRNA from 1 species